AAUGAACGCUGGCGGCAGGCCUAAAACAUGCAAGUCGAACGCCCUAGCAAUAGGGAGUGGCAGACGGGUGAGUAACACGUGGGAACGUACCUUUCGGUUCGGAAUAAUUCAGGGAAACUUGGACUAAUACCGGAUACGCCCUUCGGGGGAAAGAUUUAUCGCCGAUAGAUCGGCCCGCGUCUGAUUAGCUAGUUGGUGAGGUAAUGGCUCACCAAGGCGACGAUCAGUAGCUGGUCUGAGAGGAUGAUCAGCCACAUUGGGACUGAGACACGGCCCAAACUCCUACGGGAGGCAGCAGUGGGGAAUAUUGGACAGUGGGCGCAAGCCUGAUCCAGCCAUGCCGCGUGAGUGAUGAAGGCCUUAGGGUUGUAAAGCUCUUUUGUCCGGGAAGAUAAUGACUGUACCGGAAGAAUAAGCCCCGGCUAACUUCGUGCCAGCCGCCGCGUAAGAC
rnacentral:rRNA from 1 species